UACGAAGGGGGCUAGCGUUGUUCGGAAUUACUGGGCGUAAAGCGCGCGCAGGCGGUCUUCCAAGUCAGUGGUGAAAGCCCGGAGCUCAACUCCGGAACUGCCAUUGAAACUGUUGGACUUGAGUACGAGAGAGGUGAGUGGAAUUCCCAGUGUAGAGGUGAAAUUCGUAGAUAUUGGGAAGAACACCGGUGGCGAAGGCGGCUCUCUGGAACGGUACUGACGCUGAGACGCGAAAGCGUGGGGAGCGAACAGG
rnacentral:rRNA from 1 species